CAGAGGCCCCAAGCGUUACUGAGAAUCACUGGGUUUAAAGGGUGCGUAGGUGGCGCGUUAAGUCCGUUGUGAAAGCCCUGGGCUCAACCCAGGAACUGCUUCGGAUACUGGCGCGCUUGAGGCUAGUAGGGGUCACUGGAACUGACGGUGGAGCGGUGAAAUGCGUAGAUAUCGUCAGGAACGCCAAUGGUGAAGGCAGGUGACUGGGCUAGUUCUGACACUGAGGCACGAAAGCGUGGGGAGCGAACGGGAUUAGAUACCCCGGUAGUCCACGCCCUAAACGAUGCAGACUAGACUGCAGCGGGUUACACCCCGUUGCGGUCGGAGCGAAAUUGUUAAGUCUGCCACCUGGGAAGUACGGUCGCAAGGCUA
rnacentral:rRNA from 1 species